rnacentral:rRNA from 1 species
AUACUUAGUGGCAGACGGGUGAGUAACAUGUAGGUAUCUGCCCUUUGGCCUGGAAUAACACGAGGAAACUUGUGCUAAUACCGGAUAAGUCUUUACGGAGAAAGCUUUAUGCACCAUUGGAUGAGCCUGCACUUGAUUAGUUUGUUGGUGGGGUAAUGGCCUACCAAGACUGUGAUCAAUAGCUGAUUUGAGAGGAUGAUCAGCCACAUUGGGACUGAGACACGGCCCAAACUCCUACGGGAGGCAGCAGUGGGGAAUCUUGCACAAUGGAGGAAACUCUGAUGCAGCGAUGCCGCGUGAGUGAAGAAGGCCUUUGGGUUGUAAAGCUCUUUCGUCGGGGAAGAAAAUGACUGUACCCGAAUAAGAAGGUCCGGCUAACUUCGUGCCAGCAGCCGCGGUAAUACGAAGGGACCUAGCGUAGUUCGGAAUUACUGGGCUUAAAGAGUUCGUAGGUGGUUGAAAAAGUUGGUGGUGAAAUCCCAGAGCUUAACUCUGGAACUGCCAUCAAAACUUUUCAGCUAGAGUAUGAUAGAGGAAAGCAGAAUUUCUAGUGUAGAGGUGAAAUUCGUAGAUAUUAGAAAGAAUACCAAUUGCGAAGGCAGCUUUCUGGAUCAUUACUGACACUGAGGAACGAAAGCAUGGGUAGCGAAGAGGAUUAGAUACCCUCGUAGUCCAUGCCGUAAACGAUGUGUGUUAGACGUUGGAAAUUUAUUUUCAGUGUCGCAGCGAAAGCGAUAAACACACCGCCUGGGGAGUACGA